AUUUGGAUUAAUGCCCCAUGGCAUCCGCUACCUGCAUGGGUAUCGGAUUAAAGAUUUAUCGGACAGGGAUGGCCAUGCGUACCAUUAGUUUGUUGGUGGGGUAACGGCCCACCAAGGCUACGAUGGUUAGGGGCCCUGAGAGGGGGAUCCCCCACACUGGUACUGAGACACGGACCAGACUCCUACGGGAGGCAGCAGUGAGGAAUAUUGGACAAUGGGCGGGAGCCUGAUCCAGCCAUGCCGCGUGCGGAAAGAAGGCCCUAUGGGUCGUAAACCGCUUUUAUACGGGAAGAAACCACCCCACGUGUGGGGUACUGACGGUACCGUAAGAAUAAGGACCGGCUAACUCCGUGCCAGCAGCCGCGGUAAUACGGAGGGUCCGAGCGUUAUCCGGAAUCAUUGGGUUUAAAGGGUCCGUAGGCGGGCCGUUAAGUCAGGGGUGAAAGUCUGCGGCUCAACCGUAGAACUGCCCUUGAUACUGGCGGUCUUGAGUCAUAUUGGAGUGGGCGGAAUAUGUAGUGUAGCGGUGAAAUGCAUAGAUAUUACAUAGA
rnacentral:rRNA from 1 species